UUGCUCAACACUAAAUUGCAAUAGAGAUAAAUAAAAGUGAAAUACAAAUACGAAAAGAUCGACAUAGUAUACAGCGUAAAAUCAGUCAAUCCAAUACACACGGCUUUACUGUUCUAGUUCACAUUUCGUUCACACUUCUCCGUUCGAUUAAUAUAAAAAGAAAAAACAGCCAAGUUUUGAAGCAGAAAAUAAGGAUACAGUAUGGCGGAUACAGCACAAUAUCUAAAUGACCGUUUCCAACGAUUUAUGCAUGGCAUCGGCGAGCGCUAUGAGCCAUUCAUCCGUCAGCACCUGUCUAAGGUGUAUAUGGUGCUGGCUAGCACCACCGCUGCUUCGGCAGUGGGCGCCCUGUUCCAAAUGCGUGGAACUUUCGAUAUGGGCAUGUUAGCGGCCAUUGCUUCAUUGGUGCUGGUUCUUGGUCUGCACUUUUAUAAAGACGAUGGCAAAAAUUAUUACACACGCUUGGGAAUGCUUUAUGCUUUUGGAUUCUGUUCGGGACAAACAUUGGGUCCAUUGUUGGACUACAUUUGCAGCAUUAAUCCGGCGAUUAUCUUAACUGCACUAACUGGGACAUUUGUAACUUUUGGUUCCUUAUCGCUAGCCGCUCUGCUUGCUGAACAGGGCAAGUAUUUGUAUCUGGGCGGCAUGUUAGUGAGCGUUAUAAACUGCAUGGCUCUUCUCAGUCUCUUCAACAUGAUCUUUAAAUCCUACUUUGUGCAAAUUACUCAAUUAUACGUUGGCGUCUUCGUUAUGGCUGCCUUCAUAGUGUACGAUACCCAAAAUAUUGUGGAUAAGUGCCGCAUGGGCAAUCGCGAUGUGGUACAACAUGCAUUGGAUCUUUUCUUCGACGUGUUGAGCAUGUUCCGCCGUUUGCUGAUUAUCUUAACGCAAAAGCUCAAGAGCUUUAUGGUUUAAUAGUCGUUAGAACAAUUUAGCGACGAACCCAAUAAUAAAUACCCUUGAUCUGACAAUUUUUAUCAAUCAAUAUCUUUAAAUUGUGCAAAACCAUAAUUUUUAUAUUCACUCGAAACGGAGGAACAAAAGCAGAAUGAUCGUCGCAAGAAGAAGCAAUAAGAAAAAUGAUCUACUGACAAAUUUCAAAUGAAUUACAUUGGAUACAAUUUUAAAUUUCAAAUAAAAGGAGGGCCCGUGUUAAUCUUUUGGCUUUCUAUUAUAUAUUCCACCAAAUACACAAAAUUGAAUAUUUGGUACACGAAAACCAUGCAAAUCCCGACCUAAAUACCAUCUAAUAAAACUCAAUUCAUUCAAAAGACUAUAAAUGUAAUUCGUAUGGCCAUGUGCUAUUGAAUAAUUCUUAAUGAAAGGUCCCAGGUUUAUGGUUUAUAUCUGUAUGUUGUAUUAAAUUUAUAAUAUCUUUAAUAUCUA